rnacentral:tRNA from 1 species
GGCAUUGUGGCUCAGAGGUAGAGCACUCACCUAACAUGUAUGAGGCACUGGGUUCAAUCCUCAGCACCA